CCGGGUUUCCGUGUCCAACGUUUCACCGUCUGUUUAAUUUUAAAAAAUUAUGAAAAAAAAAUAAAAAGACAAAUCACGCAUAAAGUAUUAAUCAUGUUUUAUCAUCUAACAACAAUAAAAAUACUAAUUAUAAAAAAAAUUUCAUAUAAGACGGACAAUCAAACAUUGGACACCGAAACCUAAGGUUUGUCUUUUU
rfam:Oryza sativa Japonica Group DNA, chromosome 9, cultivar: Nipponbare, complete sequence.